CUGCAGUAUCCUGACUGUGCAAAGGUAGCAUAAUAAUUUGUUUUUUAAUUAAAGAAUGGAAUGAAAGGCUUGACGAGGGUAAUGCUGUCUCAUUUAUAUUUAUUAUAAGUUGAUUUUUAGGUUAAAAAGCCUAAAUCGUAUUGAAGGACGAGAAGACCCUGUUGAGCUUUAAGGCUAAUAUUAAUCUAUUUAUAUAUAUAAAAUAAUAAAAAAAUAUAUAAAAUUUUAGUUGGGGCGACUAUGGAACCAUAAAAACUUCCUUUAAUAUGAAAAUUAAAUUAAUGAUGAUCCAAGCUAUUUUGAAUUAAGAGUAAGCUACCUAAGGGAUAACAGCGUAAUUUUUCUUGAGAGUUCUAAUCGAAGGAAAAGUUUACGACCUCGAUGUUGGAUUAGAACAUAGUAAAGGUUGCAGUAGCUUUUGCUAUUAGUCUGUUCGACUAGUAAUAUUCUACAUGAUCUGAGUUCAAACCGGA
rnacentral:rRNA from 1 species